rnacentral:rRNA from 1 species
CGGGGGGGAAGAACCAACAGGGAUUGCCCCAGUAACGGCGAGUGAAGCGGCAACAGCUCAAAUUUGAAAUCUGGCCCCCAGGGCCCGAGUUGUAAUUUGCAGAGGAUGCUUUUGGCGACGCGCCUUCCGAGUUCCCUGGAACGGGACGCCAUAGAGGGUGAGAGCCCCGUCUGGUUGGACGCCGAGCCUCUGUAAAGCUCCUUCGACGAGUCGAGUAGUUUGGGAAUGCUGCUCUAAAUGGGAGGUAUAUGUCUUCUAAAGCUAAAUACCGGCCAGAGACCGAUAGCGCACAAGUAGAGUGAUCGAAAGAUGAAAAGCACUUUGAAAAGAGGGUUAAAUAGUACGUGAAAUUGUUGAAAGGGAAGCGCUCACGACCAGACUUGAGCCCGGUGAAUCAUCCAGCGUUCUCGCUGGUGCACUUCGCCGGGCCCAGGCCAGCAUCGGUUCGCCGCGGGGGAGAAAGGCGUCGGGAACGUGGCUCCCUCGGGAGUGUUAUAGCCCGUCGCACAAUACCCUGGGGCGGACCGAGGUUCGCGCAUCUGCAAGGAUGCUGGCGUAAUGGUCGUCAGCGACCCGUCUUGAAACACGGACCAAGGAGUCGUCUUCGUAUGCGAGUGUUCGGGUGUAAAACCCCUACGCGUAAUGAAAGUGAACGCAGGUGAGAGCUUCGGCGCAUCAUCGACCGAUCCUGAUGUUCUCGGAUGGAUUUGAGUAAGAGCAUACGGGGCCGGACCCGAAAGAAGGUGAACUAUGCCUGUGUAGGGUGAAGCCAGAGGAAACUCUGGUGGAGGCUCGCAGCGGGUUCUGACGUGCAAAUCGAUCGUCAAACAUGGGCAUGGGGGCGAGAGACUAAUCGAACCUUCUAGUAGCUGGUUUCCGCCGAGGUUCCCUCUCAGGGAAGGG